rnacentral:lncRNA from 1 species
UUUAAUAUCACCCCACCUCUGGCACUAGUAUGGGGAUCAUGGCUGAUGAUUGUAUUAGUUAUUGCAACAGAAUUGUUUCGAGCAGUUUAAAAAUGCAAAAAGUCCAUAGCACAAGGGGUCCAGAAUUCAAGAAAAAUAGACACAAAAAAUACAAUAAAAGAAAAUUCAAAAAGAUUUAUUAUAUAAGAAAUGUUGCAUUGAAAAGGAAACACAGCCAACAUGUUAAACAUUGUAUCUACUCAGGGAGGGUGCUUUGUCCCACAAUGUACCUGAAGGAAUAAUGUUAUUUUCUUGGAAGACAAAAAUGGAAGACUUCAAUCUAGGCUUUUCUUGAACAUUGCACUUUCUUAAUUAUUCAUUUUUUGUUUAUUUCUUUAAUUCCUCUAAUUCUUCAUUUGCCUCUUUUCUCUGCUUUUUUCUAGAGGCUUUCUUGUCUUCUUUCACCCCUUUCUUUUAUUUUUGUUUUAUUUCUUGGACU